CCUACGGGUGGCAGCAGUGAGGAAUAUUGGUCAAUGGACGAGAGUCUGAACCAGCCAAGUAGCGUGAAGGAUGACUGCCCUAUGGGUUGUAAACUUCUUUUAUAUGGGAAUAAAACGUUCCACGUGUGGGAUUUUGUAUGUACCAUAUGAAUAAGGAUCGGCUAACUCCGUGCCAGCAGCCGCGGUAAUACGGAGGAUCCGAGCGUUAUCCGGAUUUAUUGGGUUUAAAGGGAGCGUAGGUGGAUUGUUAAGUCAGUUGUGAAAGUUUGCGGCUCAACCGUAAAAUUGCAGUUGAAACUGGCAGUCUUGAGUACAGUAGAGGUGGGCGGAAUUCGUGGUGUAGCGGUGAAAUGCUUAGAUAUCACGAAGAACUCCGAUUGCGAAGACAGUUCACUGGACUGCAACUGACACUGAGGCUCGAAAGUGUGGGUAUCAAACAGGAUUAGAUACCCCUGUAGUC
rnacentral:rRNA from 1 species